ACAAGCUUGAGAAACGGCUAGUAGGACUAAGGUCUGCAGCAGGCGCGAAACUUACACAAUGCUAGAUUACCUAUAGCGAUGUAGUGAAGAAAAAUAACGAUGUACUUCCGUUAUUACACGGUAGUACAAUUGGAAUGAGACGACUCUAAACCAGUUAGUCGAGUAACAAAUGGAGGGCAAGUCUGGUGCCAGCAGCCGCGGUAAUUCCAGCUCCAUUAGCAUACAUUAAAGUUGUUGCGGUUAAAAAGCUCGUAGUUGAAUUUUACGCGGGCUCUAUUGGGAUGCGACCGAAAAGGUUGGCCGGAUAUUCAUCUGGUCCAACUGGUUGUCAUGCCCUAUAGGAACCCGCUGUUUCGUCACUUAAUUGAGUGCGAAGCGGGCUAGCACAAUGGCACGCCUCGGCGCGCCUUGCACUAGCAUGUUUACCUUGAGAAAAUUAGAGUGCUCACAGCAGGCAGUUGGGGUGUCAAAGCUCCUUUAUGCUUGAAUAAUGUUGCAUGGAAUAAUAGAAUACGGCCUCGGUUUUAUUCUGUUGGUUUUAUAGAACAACAAACAAGUUGGUUAAAGCGAUCAAAAGUCCGUUUGUGAGUGUGGCUUCAUCGUACAUCUGUUUCAAUGUUAUGUUGCCUGGGGCCUUAAAAUCUCAGUGCCUUGCGUUGUACAGUGUCGACGUGGCUAUCCAAGCCCUCCUAAUGUGGCUAGCUUCUCAACCAACUGAGGCAAUGGUUAAAAAAAAUAGUCUCGGCGGCCCCAGUACCGCAUCGUGAGAG
rnacentral:rRNA from 1 species